rnacentral:rRNA from 1 species
UUACGGAAGGCAGCAGUGAGGAAUAUUGCAAAAUGGGCGCAAGCCCGAUGCAGCAACGCCGCGUGCGCGAUGAAGGCCUUCGGGUCGUAAAGCGCUUUUCGAGGGGAUGAGGAAGGACAGUACCCUCGGAAUAAGUCUCGGCUAACUACGUGCCAGCAGCCGCGGUAAAACGUAGGAGGCGAGCGUUAUCCGGAUUUACUGGGCGUAAAGCGCGUGCAGGCGGCUUGGCAAGUUGGAUGUGAAAGCUCCCGGCUCAACUGGGAGAGGUCGUUCAAUACUGCUAAGCUUGAGGGUGGUAGAGGGAGGUGGAAUUCCGGGUGUAGUGGUGAAAUUCGUAGAUAUCCGGAGGAACACCAGUGGCGAAAGCGGCCUUCUGGACCAUUCCUGACGCUCAGACGCGAAAGCUAGGGUAGCAAACGGGAUUAGAUACCCCGGUAGC